rnacentral:lncRNA from 1 species
UUGUUAUGUUUUUGUUAGGUACAAUGGAUCAAAAUUGUCCACCAGAACUUAAAAUAAUGUCCCAAACCCAGGUUGUCUGUACGGACUCCCGAACCACGAAGGAAAGGUCUGUGGCUUCUAACAUUCAGAAAGCAACGCUGUCAAUGAACUGAGAUGCUUCACUUUCCUGCCCCGCAAGGCUCGAGCAACUCUGCAUACUAUUUACCCUUCCUGGGAGGCUGCUGCCAGAGAGUUGGUUCUCAGAUUAAAA